GACGAACGCUGGCGGCGUGCUUAACACAUGCAAGUCGAGCGGUAAGGCCCUUUCGGGGGUACGACGAGCGGCGAACGGGUGAGUAACACGUGGGUGACCUGCCCUCAGCUCUGGGAUAAGCCCGGGAAACUGGGUCUAAUACCGGAUAUGACUCCAUGACGCAUGUUGUGGGGUGGAAAGCCUUGUGCGGCUGAGGAUGGGCCCGCGGCCUAUCAGCUUGUUGGGUGGGGUGAUGGCCACCAAGGCGACGACGGGUAGCCGGCCUGAGAGGGCGACCGGCCACACUGGGACUGAGACACGGCCCAGACUCCUACGGGAGGCAGCAGUGGGGAAUCUUGCGCAAUGGGCGAAAGCCUGACGCAGCGACGCCGCGUGAGGGAUGAC
rnacentral:rRNA from 1 species